CUCGCGUUCUGUCUUCUCCUCAUUUCACUCUCGUGAAAACAAAGUUUUUUUUCCUUUUGGCGAUGAAGAUGGCGAUUCGGCUCAUCUCCGAUCUUCCGCCGUAGAUGUCGUCCGGCCGACCAAUCUGAGAGAUAUCACGACCUCCAGCGUUGCGGGAGUUCCACGGGAGGAGGAGAUGCUGAAAUCAACAAGUGGUGUGAGAAAAAGGCGGCGAGGAGUACCGGAAAUUGUUGGCUCCGAUUUGUUCCAAUCCUUCUCAAAUCGGUUAAUAUGGAGAUACAAACACAUUGUACAAAGAAGAGCGACAAUAAAA